UCUGACUUUAAUUAAUAGAAGUAAUAUUAAUUAAUGAAGGUUAUUGUGAUUAAUUGGAUAAAUAAUUGACCAAGUAAGAUUAUGUGAGAUACAAGUGAAACCAAUGAGAAGCCUUAGUCAUAGAGGUGGACCCUACACCUCACUUAUAUGCAAAUGAACAACUUACCCUCACACUUUCAUUUUCAUUUACUGAUAACCAAAGAUCAGAAGCUCUCUCUCUCUCUCUCUCUCUCUCUCUCUCGUGAACUCUCACUCUCCUUCUCAUGUUCCUCAUCAUUCUCAAGCAAUAAGCACAAAUCCUUUCAUUCCAAAUCUUGCAUGCAAACACAUAAUUGAAAUCCUUAAUUAGGUCUUGGGCUUUAUUGUAAGAAUUGAAAGUACAAUAAGAAAUUGGAAGAAUUUGGGUUAAACCCGUAAUCUGGACAGACCUCCACUAAAAAGGUUUAGGUCUUGGGCUUUAUUGUAAGGUAAGCUUUUCUCCAAUCCUCCAUCUAUUUCUCUCAAUUUCAAGCCCUUUCUCUCUAGCCCCAAUUCUGAUAUGGGUUUGUGAUGCAUGCUUUUUGUCUACAAAUAAUGGGCUGUGGUGAUUGAGCCAAGAAUUGAAAGUACAAUAAGAAAUUGGAAGAAUUUGGGUUAAACCCGUAAUCUGGACAGACCUCCACUAAAAAGUUUCAUGGAUUUCUAAGCAGUGAUGAAUUCGGGAGAAGCAUUUGAAGUUCGAGGUCUGAUGCAGAACUUUGGGCUACGGGUUUAGAGUGUUGUGGCUGCAAAUUCUGUUUUUCAACUAGCUCCGAAUAUGUUGUUAGCACGAUUCAAACGUCAUGUUCAGGUAACAGGUUGAGCAUGAUAAAUGGAUUUUCAAGAGGAUUGAAGUAAAGACGCUGUUUAUGGAAACUUCGUAGCAUUCACCUGUUAGAUUAUUAUAGAAGAUGACUCAAGGCUUGAUCCUGAUUGUUAUGCAUUCUAUUUCGCUCUGAUGUAUAAUAUAUUAUAGGUUGUACAUUAUGACAGUUUAUUCAGGAUUUUGUCAAGAUUAUGUAUUGUCUAGCAAAUUAUCUUGUAAUUGUACUAUGUCGGACAAAAGUUAUUCUGUAAUUUUAAUGUUUCCCGAUUCAGUUA